UGGAAUGUUCAUAGAUAUAAAUCCUAACAUUA
rnacentral:piRNA from 1 species